UGGGGAAUUUUGCACAAUGGGCGAAAGCCUGAUGCAACGACGCCGCGUGGAGGAUGAAGGUCUUCGGGUUGUAAACUCCUUUUCUCAGGAAAGAUGAUGACGGUACCUGAGGAAUAAGCCACGGCUA
rnacentral:rRNA from 1 species